rnacentral:antisense_RNA from 1 species
UGUUAUGGCUGCUGUAUGCGGGAGAUCUUCGGGUCUGCCGGUCGCUCCUUACCGGUUCGCCAACCCGCAUGCAGUUGCCACCCUA